GAAAGGCAUAUUUUCUGGAAUUAUACAAAAAGUAAUGAACUUCUGAAGACCUUAGAUGUAAAGGAUUAAGCACAUUCAUUUCUCAGCGCCCAUGUUUACAAGUGUUUCUUUUCUUGGAAAACAGGCAUUUGAUAUUUCUGAAGAUAGGGAAUACAAGGCCUCUCUGACUCUUUUUAAUCCUUCUCCACUGAAAUUACACUCUGUUUACAGGAUGUGAGUGACCAGAACAGCAUGGACUGUCCCC
rnacentral:lncRNA from 1 species